rnacentral:rRNA from 1 species
GGGGAAUAUUGCACAAUGGGCGAAAGCCUGAUGCAGCAACGCCGCGUGAGUGAUGAAGGUCUUCGGAUUGUAAAGCUCUGUCUUUUGGGACGAUAAUGACGGUACCAAAGGAGGAAGCCACGGCUAACUACGUGCCAGCAGCCGCGGUAAUACGUAGGUGGCGAGCGUUGUCCGGAUUUACUGGGCGUAAAGGGUGCGUAGGCGGAUGUUUAAGUGAGAUGUGAAAUACCCGGGCUUAACUUGGGUGCUGCAUUUCAAACUGGAUAUCUAGAGUGCAGGAGAGGAGAAUGGAAUUCCUAGUGUAGCGGUGAAAUGCGUAGAGAUUAGGAAGAACACCAGUGGCGAAGGCGAUUCUCUGGACUGUAACUGACGCUGAGGCACGAAAGCGUGGGUAGCAAACAGGAUUAGAUACCCUGGUAGUCCACGCCGUAAACGAUGAGUACUAGGUGUAGGAGGUAUCGACCCCUUCUGUGCCGCAGUA